AGAACGAACGCUGGCGGCAUGCCUAAUACAUGCAAGUCGAACGAACACUUCGGUGUUAGUGGCGCACGGGUGCGUAACGCGUGGGAAUCUGCCCUUGGGUUCGGAAUAACAGUUGGAAACGACUGCUAAUACCGGAUGAUAUCGAAAGAUCAAAGAUUUAUCGCCCAGGGAUGAGCCCGCGUAGGAUUAGCUAGUUGGUGAGGUAAAGGCUCACCAAGGCGACGAUCCUUAGCUGGUCUGAGAGGAUGAUCAGCCACACUGGGACUGAGACACGGCCCAGACUCCUACGGGAGGCAGCAGUAGGGAAUAUUGGACAAGUGGGGG
rnacentral:rRNA from 1 species